rnacentral:rRNA from 1 species
UACGAAGGGGGCUAGCGUUGCUCGGAAUUACUGGGCGUAAAGCGCACGUAGGCGGCUUCUUAAGUCAGGGGUGAAAUCCUGGAGCUCAACUCCAGAACUGCCUUUGAUACUGAGAGCUCGAGUCCGGGAGAGGUGAGUGGAACUGCGAGUGUAGAGGUGAAAUUCGUAGAUAUUCGCAAGAACACCAGUGGCGAAGGCGGCUCACUGGCCCGGUACUGACGCUCAGGUGCGAAAGCGUGGGGGAGCAAACAGG